UACGAAGGGGGCUAGCGUUGUUCGGAAUUACUGGGCGUAAAGCGCGCGCAGGCGGUCCUUUAAGUCGGGGGUGAAAGCCCAGAGCUCAACUCUGGAACUGCCUUCGAAACUAGAGGACUUGGGUACGGGAGAGGUGAGUGGAAUUCCGAGUGUAGAGGUGACAUUCGUAGAUAUUCGGAAGAACACCAGUGGCGAAGGCGGCUCACUGGCCCGAUACUGACGCUGAGGCACGAAAGCGUGGGGAGCAAACAGG
rnacentral:rRNA from 1 species